rnacentral:rRNA from 1 species
GCCCGAUCGCCCUUGAGUUUGAUCUGGCUCAGGAUGAACGCUAGCGGCAGGCCUAAUACAUGCAAGUCGGACGGGAUAGGAGAGCUUGCUUUCCUUGAGAGUGGCGCACGGGUGCGUAACACGUAUGUAACCUACCUUGAUCAGGGGGAUAGCCUCUCGAAAGAGAGAUUAAGACCGCAUAACAUUGAGAUGCAGCAUUGCAAUUCAAUCAAAUAUUUAUAGGAUCAAGAUGGGCAUGCGGAACAUUAGCUAGUUGGUGUGGUAACGGCAUACCAAGGCUACGAUGUUUAGGGGAUCUGAGAGGAUGACCCCCCACACUGGUACUGAGACACGGACCAGACUCCUACGGGAGGCAGCAGUAAGGAAUAUUGGUCAAUGGGCGGAAGCCUGAACCAGCCAUGCCGCGUGCAGGAAGACGGCCCUACGGGUUGUAAACUGCUUUUGCAGGGGAAUAAACCUCGAUACGUGUAUCGAGCUGAAUGUACUCUGAGAAUAAGGAUCGGCUAACUCCGUGCCAGCAGCCGCGGUAAUACGGAGGAUCCAAGCGUUAUCCGGAUUUAUUGGGUUUAAAGGGUGCGUAGGUGGUUUUUUAAGUCAGGAGUGAAAGACGGCAGCUUAACUGUCGCAGUGCCUUUGAUACUGAAGAACUUGAAUUAACUAGAGGUAGGCGGAAUGUGACAAGUAGCGGUGAAAUGCAUAGAUAUGUCACAGAACACCAAUUGCGAAGGCAGCUUACUA